GGCAUGGAUUAGGCAUGCAAGUCGAACGAGGAUAUAUCCUUCGGGAUAUAAGCCGAGUGGCGCAAGGGUGAGUAAUGCAUAGAUUACCUACCUCUAGGAUAAGGACAACUUUGUGAAAACGAAGCUAAUACUUAAUAAUACAAAAGAAAAUAAUUUUCUUAUGUCAAUGGGAGGGUAGCAAUACCUUUUGCCUAGAGAGGGGUUUAUGUCCUAUCAGCUUGUUGGUGGGGUAAUGGCCUACCAAGGCGAAGACGGGUAGCCGGUCUUAGAGGAUGGUCGGCCACACUGGGACUGAGACACUGCCCAGACUUCUACGGAAGGCUGCAGUCGAGAAUCUUUCGCAAUGCCCGGAAGGGUGACGAAGCGACGCCGCGUGAGUGAGGAAGGCCUUCGGGUUGUAAAGCUCUGUUAGGAGUUAAGAAAUAUAAGUGUGCUAAUACCACAUUUAUUUGACGAAGGCUCCAAAGGAAGCCACGGCUAACUCUGUGCCAGCAGCCGCGGUAAUACAGAGGUGGCAAGCAUUGUUCGGAUUUAUUGGGCGUAAAGAGCACGUAGGUGGGUUUGUAAGUCAGAUGUGAAAGCCUUCUGUUCAACGGAAGAAUUGCAUCUGAAACUACAAGUCUUGGGUGUAGGAGGGGAGAAUGGAACUUCUGGUGGAGCGGUGAAAUGCGUAGAUAUCAGAAGGAACGCCGGCGGCGAAAGCGAUUCUCUGGCCUAUUACUGACACUCAGUGUGCGAAAGCUAGGGGAGCAAACGGGAUUAGAUACCCCGGUAGUCCUAGCCGUAAACGAUGGGCACUAAGUAGAGGGAAUUACCGAUGUUCUCUCUGCCGUAGCUAACGCAUUAAGUGCCCCGCCUGGGGAGUACGGCCGCAAGGCUAAAACUCAAAAGAAUUGACGGGGGCUCACACAAGCGGUGG
rnacentral:rRNA from 1 species